UGUCAGGUCGGCGGGUCUGCGGACGCUUUGCUGACCUGUGGUACCUCCCGAGGUCGAGGGAGUCUGGUUCUCUACGGUCGACCCUCGGGGCAUCCCGACCUUAGUCGAGGGGGCGCUACGGGGGGCCGCGAAGGUACUACCCCGUUGUUGGUGAUGAGCGCCACGGGGGGCCGCGAAGGUACUACCCCGUCUUUCCGAAGUGUCGAGGGGUCUGGGUACGCACUGUCGACACUCGGGGCAUCUCGACCUUAGUCGAGGGAUCGCUCGCUUCGGGGAUCGGGGA
rnacentral:lncRNA from 1 species